rnacentral:rRNA from 1 species
AGUGAACGCUGGCGGUAGACCUAACACAUGCAAGUCGAACGGCAGCACAGUAAGAGCUUGCUCUUGCGGGUGGCGAGUGGCGGACGGGUGAGGAAUACAUCGGAAUCUACUUUUUCGUGGGGGAUAACGUAGGGAAACUUACGCUAAUACCGCAUACGACCUACGGGUGAAAGCAGGGGAUCUUCGGACCUUGCGCGAUUGAAUGAGCCGAUGUCGGAUUAGCUAGUUGGCGGGGUAAAGGCCCACCAAGGCGACGAUCCGUAGCUGGUCUGAGAGGAUGAUCAGCCACACUGGAACUGAGACACGGUCCAGACUCCUACGGGAGGCAGCAGUGGGGAAUAUUGGACAAUGGGCGCAAGCCUGAUCCAGCCAUACCGCGUGGGUGAAGAAGGCCUUCGGGUUGUAAAGCCCUUUUGUUGGGAAAGAAAAGCAGCAGGUUAAUACCCCACUGUUCUGACGGUACCCAAAGAAUAAGCACCGGCUAACUUCGUG